UACAGAGGGUGCAAGCGUUGUUCGGAGUUACUGGGCGUAAAGCGCGUGUAGGCGGAAAGAGAAGUCGGGUGUGAAAUCCCUGGGCUUAACCCAGGAACUGCGCCCGAAACCAUCUGUCUGGAGUGUGGCAGGGGAGCGGGGAAUUCCCGGUGUAGAGGUGAAAUUCGUAGAUAUCGGGAGGAACACCAGUGGCGAAGGCGCCGCUCUGGGCCAUCACUGACGCUAAAACGCGAAAGCUUGGGGAGCAAACAGG
rnacentral:rRNA from 1 species